rnacentral:miRNA from 1 species
UUAGACACCUCAACUAAGACUUG